rnacentral:rRNA from 1 species
GACGAACGCUGGCGGCGUGCCUAAUACAUGCAAGUCGAACGAGAGCGACCGGUGCUUGCACUGGUCAAUCUAGUGGCGAACGGGUGAGUAACACGUGGGUAACCUGCCCAUCAGAGGGGGAUAACAUCCGGAAACGGAUGCUAAAACCGCAUAGGUCUUCGAACCGCAUGGUUUGAAGAGGAAAAGAGGCGCAAGCUUCUGCUGAUGGAUGGACCCGCGGUGCAUUAGCUAGUUGGUGAGGUAACGGCUCACCAAGGCCGUGAUGCAUAGCCGACCUGAGAGGGUGAUCGGCCACAUUGGGACUGAGACACGGCCCAAACUCCUACGGGAGGCAGCAGUAGGGAAUCUUCCGCAAUGGACGCAAGUCUGACGGAGCAACGCCGCGUGAGUGAAGAAGGUUUUCGGAUCGCAAAACUCUGUUGUUAGAGAAGAACAAGUGCUAGAGUAACUGUUAGCGCCUUGACGGUAUCUAACCAGAAAGCCACGGCUAACUACGUG